rnacentral:rRNA from 1 species
UACGAAGGGAGCAAGCGUUACUCGGAAUUACUGGGCGUAAAGCGCAUGUAGGCGGAACCACAAGUCAGAGGUGAAAUCCCAGGGCUCAACCCUGGAAUUGCCUUUGAAACUGUGGUUCUUGAGUAUGACAGAGGAUAGUGGAAUUUCCAGUGUAGAGGUGAAAUUCGUAGAUAUUGGAAGGAACACCAGUGGCGAAGGCGACUGUCUGGGUCAUAACUGACGCUGAGAUGCGAAAGCGUGGGGAGCAAACAGG